GACGUGUGCUUUUGGUUUCUCUAAAAGGCUUCAUACCAAUAGAGAUGUAUUCCUUACUUAUAAACCCAUGAUCAACCUUUAAUUAGUCAAGGUGGGACCCCUCUCCCGACGAUCCUCAAUAACUGCUUCCUCCCUCCAUCAUUUCGCCGUCUCCCGUCCCCUUCAAGUGAUGUGCAGACAUGUGUAGCUGCAAUAUUUUGCGUUUAGCAUUGUUAUAAUUUCUGCUGCCACCGUGAGAGCAUCAAAAUGAGCGAUAAAUUGAAGCCAGAAUUUCUCCAUCGAAAUAUUACAUUUUCCAUGUGGCCAAACCCCAGAAUGUUUGAGGAGAGCCUAUCAUCCUACAACCUUGGCAGGGAGCUGCUUCAUAUUCCCCAUGGAAUAACCUGGAAAAUUUCUCCCUAAUAUCCCCACGCGAGAUGGUUUGUUAUCUCUAUUCUUGUUCGAGGAUGCCUAAAAUGAUGAAUAUGGAGGGGACAAGAAGUUUGAUGUUCAUGGAAAAUGGAGAAGAAACUGUUAUUUUCAGAUGGGAUGAUGUCAAACUUGAAAUGAUGAAAAAGUUUGGUUCACAAAAUGCCAUGAAUUCUGUUAGGGUUCGUAGAUUCGUGCAGUUGUAUUCAUUGAUCUACGAUAAACUAAUUUGGUUAUCCUAUUCACAGCGACCUCAUUUCUACACAAGUUGUAUCACUGGAUUUGUUCAGUCGAGUUGUCAAAGGGUGAUUUGUUUUGUCGGGUUGUCAAAGGGUGAUUUAUGCUAACAUGACCGGAACUGGAGUCUCAGAUUUUGCAGUUUCAUGGCUGCAUAUUCAGUCAAGCACAUGAGACUGAGUCGACUAUACUUGAGCUCGAGAAAGAUUAUUUAUUACUGACUGUGUUGCUUCAACUUCAUUUGUCACUCAUGACGUGUAGUAUAUAGCAAGACUACCAAGUCAAGUCUCAACAAGGAAGAUUUUGAGCUCCAACCACA